UGUGGAUACAUUGCUGGAUAGUUGUCUUGAUCAAGUGAACCCAUCUUCCUUUAUUGUGCCUUAUCUUAUAUCUGGUUUGUCUGAUCAUUAUGAUGUCAAGAUGCCUUGCCAUCUCAUUCUCUCCAAACUUGCAGACAAGUGCCCUGCUGCUGUCCUUGCAGUUUUGGACUCGUUGGUUGGUCCUCUUGAAAAGACUAUAACUCACAAACCAAAACUCGACGCGGUGAAGCAAGAAGUAGAUCGCA
rnacentral:misc_RNA from 1 species